rnacentral:rRNA from 1 species
AAAGAUUAAGCCAUGCAUGUCUAAGUAUAAGCAAUUAUACCGCGAAACUGCGAAUGGCUCAUUAAAUCAGUUAUCGUUUAUUUGAUAGUACCUUACUACAUGGAUAACCGUGGUAAUUCUAGAGCUAAUACAUGCUGAAAAUCCCGACUUCGGAAGGGAUGUAUUUAUUAGAUUAAAAACCAAUGCCCUCACGGGCUCUCUGGUGAUUCAUAAUAACUUCUCGAAUCGCACGGCCUUGCGCCGGCGAUGGUUCAUUCAAAUUUCUGCCCUAUCAACUUUCGACGGCUGGGUCUUGGCCAGCCGUGGUGA